ACACGUUCUGAAUUACCAGUGAUUUCACUCACUCAGAAUACAUAGAGACGAGGCUCCUCAUUCAGAAUCUCCUUGAACCUCAUGAUGGAUUCAGCUGCACACGGGACAACUCAGUCAUUUCCUGGAACUUGCAUUUCACUGGGAGAGGCCUGCUCUAAGGGAGGGUGCUUUUUGUGGUCUUCCAUGUACAGCUAAUUAAGAUUCUGACUGGGUUUAGGAUCAAAGAAAGCUGUCCCAUUGCAUUCCCACAUUCUUCCUUCUUCUUUCAAUGUCUUCCAAGAUCUAUUUUAAACGGGAAGUGUUGUGUACUUUUCAGGGGCCCUUUGACCUGUUCCCAGUAAAUCAAAACAGGAAGGUAGGUCUCAGCCCUUCGCCUAACAGCCAAUCAGUGUGAGACCAAGGUCUGCACAGCUGUGUCUAUGUCCAGUGCCCAACCAGGGAAGUGGUAUUUCUAAAGGCUUCCCUGAGGUCGGUCUAUGGUAGUUGUUUGCUAAUCUGAAUCCAUAUUGGUGAUUAAUUUUGGAAUUCGACUCUGAGUGUAUAAGGGACAGGGUGCAAAGGGAAAACAUCUCAGAGAACUUCUACGAAUAUUAGGAGUUGGUGCAAGAAGUUCACAGUGAGCUGGGAAGGAGUGGGAAGAAAUAAUAGGGCCUUGGAUCCUUUCCAAUUCCCACCCCAGUGCGCUUGGCAGCCCACAUGAUACCUUGACUUUUCCAAAUAUUGGGGAGAAAAAGCAGCCAAGGUUUUAUGUAAGAAUGAAAAGGGCCUAAAGCAUUUCAAUUUCCGGGUGGCUAAACAAAAGAGGACACACACCAGGGAAAGCCCCUUAAAGUGUGUGCAGAAGAGUUGGACAAAAGAGAAGAGGCAUUUAAUCAGACAGAGAAAAAAAUAGAAAUGAUGUCAUUAUUUGGGUAUAGUGAGGUUGCCAUGUAGGUGUGUUUGUAUAAAUUCCUUGGGCUUCUCCUAGUAAUGAGAUAAUGCCGUAAGGUCCCCAGUUCCUCAAAAAUUUAGCUAAAACUUGGAGCGAUACUAAUUGCAAUACACAAUCGCCAUGCAGGUAAAGCUAUACAUAUCAUAAAUAUAGUCUACUGCUUACAUGAUGAGACCCUUGUUAGCAUGGGAGGGGCCCGAUUUCAUAAUUUGUACACCUGCAAUGCAGGGACUGAUCUCUCUGCAGGUGCACAUUUGCCUCAGGGUACACUAGCCUAGUGCGGCACUGCCCUACAAAGGCAAAUCCUCCAUUAAUAAAUAAUGAAAAACGACCCACCAAAAAAAUAAGUCAGAGUGGGGGAGGCACAGAAAAAGUGACAAAUUGAUUCCAGACUCUUCUUUUUUAGGCCAUCAUGGAAACAGUUACUGGAUUUAUAUUGGAAAAUUCCUACCAGGGUGUGACGCCUUCAAUCGCCCUUCGUUUCCCGUGAUCUCCCCAGGAGCACGCAGAGGGACAUCCUGGGAACGACCACGAGGUGGCCUGGAUCUUACUGCUGCCACUGAGUGCCACUCCCAGGAA
rnacentral:lncRNA from 1 species